GAUGAACGCUGGCGGCGUGCCUAAUACAUGCAAGUCGAACGAAACUUCUUUAUCACCGAGUGCUUGCACUCACCGAUAAAGAGUUGAGUGGCGAACGGGUGGGUAACACGUGGGCAACCUGCCCAAAAGAGGGGGAUAACACUUGGAAACAGGUGCUAAUACCGCAUAACCAUAGUUACCGCAUGGUAACUAUGUAAAAGGUGGCUAUACUACCGCUUUUGGAUGGGCCCGCGGCGCAUUAGCUAGUUGGUAGGGUAAAGGCUUACCAAGGCAAUGAUGCGUAGCCGAAUUGAGAGGUUGAUCGGCCACAUUGGGACUGAGACACGGCCCAAACUCCUACGGGAGGCAGCAGUAGGGAAUCUUCCACAAUGGGCGAAAGCCUGAUGGAGCAACGCCGCGUGGGUGAAGAAGGUCUUCGGAUCGUAAAACCCUGUUGUUAGAGAGGAAAGUGCGUGAGAGUAACUGUUCACGUUUCGACGGUAUCUAACCGGAAAGCCACGGCUAACUACGUG
rnacentral:rRNA from 1 species